rnacentral:rRNA from 1 species
GACGAACGCUGGCGGCGUGCUUAACACAUGCAAGUCGAACGAAGUGGCGAACGGGGGAGUACUACGUGGGUAACCUGCCCUCCUUUUUGGGAUAAGCCUUGGAAACGUGGUCUAAUACCGAAUAAAGGGGGAUGUGCUCACGGCCUAUCAGCUUGUUGGUGGGGUAAUGGCCUACCAAGGCGUCGACGGGUAGCCGGCCUGCGCGGGUGUACGGCCACAUUGGGACUGAGACACGGUCCAGACUCCUACGGGAGGCAGCAGUGGGGAAUAUUGCACAAUGGGCGAAAGUCUGACGGAGCCAUGCCGCGUGUAUGAAGAAGGUCUUCGGGUUGUAAAGCACUUUCAGCGGGGAGGCGUUACCUGCAGAAGAAGCACCGGCUAACUACGUGCCAGCAGCCGCGGUAAUAC